rnacentral:rRNA from 1 species
CUACGGGGUGCUCCAGUGAGGAAUAUUGCACAAUGGGGGGAACCCUGAUGCAGCAACGCCGCGUGGAGGAUGACGCAUUUUGGUGUGUAAACUCCUUUUAUAUGUCAAGAAAAUGACGGUAGCAUAUGAAUAAGCACCGGCUAACUCCGUGCCAGCAGCCGCGGUAAUACGGAGGGUGCAAGCGUUACUCGGAAUCACUGGGCGUAAAGGACGCGUAGGCGGGCUUGUAAGUCAGGUGUGAAAUCCUACAGCUUAACUGUAGAACUGCACUUGAAACUACGAGCCUAGAGUAUGGGAGGGGCAGAUGGAAUUAGUGGUGUAGGGGUAAAAUCCGUAGAUAUCACUAGGAAUACCUAAAGCGAAGGCGAUCUGCUGGAACAUAACUGACGCUAAGGCGUGAAAGCGUGGGGAGCAAACAGGAUUAGAUACCCGCGUAGUC